UACGGAGGGGACUAGCGUUGUUCGGAAUUACUGGGCGUAAAGCGCACGUAGGCGGAUUUGUAAGUCAGGGGUGAAAUCCCGGGGCUCAACCUCGGAACUGCCUUUGAUACUGGCAAUCUAGAGUCCGGAAGAGGUUAGUGGAAUUCCCAGUGUAGAGGUGAAAUUCGUAGAUAUUGGGAAGAACACCAGUGGCGAAGGCGGCUAACUGGUCCGGUACUGACGCUGAGGUGCGAAAGCGUGGGGAGCAAACAGG
rnacentral:rRNA from 1 species